AGCGAACGCUGGCGGUAGGCCUAACACAUGCAAGUCGAACGGAUCCUUCGGGAUUAGUGGCGGACGGGUGAGUAACACGUGGGAACGUGCCCUUUGGUUCGGAACAACCCAGGGAAACUUGAGCUAAUACCGGAUGUGCCCUUCGGGGGAAAGAUUUAUCGCCAUUGGAGCGGCCCGCGUCUGAUUAGCUAGUUGGUGAGGUAACGGCCCACCAAGGCGACGAUCAGUAGCUGGUCUGAGAGGAUGAUCAGCCACACUGGGACUGAGACACGGCCCAGACUCCUACGGGAGGCAGCAGUGGGGAAUCUUGCGCAAUGGGCGAAAGCCUGACGCAGCCAUGCCGCGUGAAUGAUGAAGGUCUUAGGAUUGUAAAAUUCUUUCAGCGGGGACGAUAAUGACGGUACCCGCAGAAGAAGCUCCGGCUAACUUCGUG
rnacentral:rRNA from 1 species